GACGAACGCUGGCGGCGUGCUUAACACAUGCAAGUCGAACGAAGAGCGAUGGAAGCUUGCUUCUCUCAAUCUUAGUGGCGAACGGGUGAGUAACGCGUAAUCAACCUGCCCUUCAGAGGGGGACAACAGUUGGAAACGACUGCUAAUACCGCAUACGAUCCAAUCUCGGCAUCGGGACUGGAUGAAAGGUGGCCUCUAUUUAUAAGCUCUCACUGAAGGAGGGGAUUGCGUCUGCUUAGCUAGUUGGAGGGGUAACGGCCCACCAAGGCGAUGAUCAGUAGACGGUCUGAGAGGAUGAACGGCCACAUUGGGACUGAGACACGGCCCAGACUCCUACGGGAGGCAGCAGUGGGGAAGCUUCCGCAAUGGACGAAAGUCUGACGGAGCAACGCCGCGUGAGUGAUGACGGCCUUCGGGUUGUAAAGCUCUGUUAAUCGGGACGAAUGGUUCUUGUGCGAAUAGGGCGAGGAUUUGACGGUACCGGAAUAGAAAGCCACGGCUAACUACGUA
rnacentral:rRNA from 1 species